AGUCGAGCGGGGAAGGUAGCUUGCUACCUAACCUAGCGGCGGACGGGUGAGUAAUGCUUAGGAAUCUGCCUAUUAGUGGGGGACAACAUUCCGAAAGGAAUGCUAAUACCGCAUACGCCCUACGGGGGAAAGCAGGGGAUCUUCGGACCUUGCGCUAAUAGAUGAGCCUAAGUCAGAUUAGCUAGUUGGUGGGGUAAAGGCCUACCAAGGCGACGAUCUGUAGCGGGUCUGAGAGGAUGAUCCGCCACACUGGGACUGAGACACGGCCCAGACUCCUACGGGAGGCAGCAGUGGGGAAUAUUGGACAAUGGGCGAAAGCCUGAUCCAGCCAUGCCGCGUGUGUGAAGAAGGCCUUUUGGUUGUAAAGCACUUUAAGCGAGGAGGAGGCUACUUAGAUUAAUACUCUAGGAUAGUGGACGUUACUCGCAGAAUAAGCACCGGCUAACUCUGUGCCAGCAGCCGCGGUAAUACAGAGGGUGCGAGCGUUAAUCGGAUUUACUGGGCGUAAAGCGUGCGUAGGCGGCUUUUUAAGUCGGAUGUGAAAUCCCUGAGCUUAACUUAGGAAUUGCAUUCGAUACUGGGAAGCUAGAGUAUGGGAGAGGAUGGGUAGAAUUCCAGGUGUAGCGGUGAAAUGCGUAGAGAUCUGGAGGAAUACCGAUGGCGAAAGCAGCCAUCUGGCCUAAUACUGACGCUGAUGUACGAAAGCAUGGGGAGCAAACAGGAUUAGAUACCCUGGUAGUCCAUGCCGUAAACGAUGUCUACUAGCCCGUUGGGGCCUUUGAGGCUUUAGUGGCGCAGCUAACGCGAUAGUAGACGCCCUGGGGGGAGUACGGUCGCA
rnacentral:rRNA from 1 species